rnacentral:rRNA from 1 species
GACGAACGCUGGCGGCGUGCUUAACACAUGCAAGUCGAACGGAAAGGCCCUGCUUUUGUGGGGUGCUCGAGUGGCGAACGGGUGAGUAACACGUGAGUAACCUGCCCUUGACUUUAGGAUAACUUCAGGAAACUGGGGCUAAUACCGGAUAGGAGCUCCUGCUGCAUGGUGGGGGUUGGAAAGUUUCGGCGGUUGGGGAUGGACUCGCGGCUUAUCAGCUUGUUGGUGGGGUAGUGGCUUACCAAGGCUUUGACGGGUAGCCGGCCUGAGAGGGUGACCGGCCACAUUGGGACUGAGAUACGGCCCAGACUCCUACGGGAGGCAGCAGUGGGGAAUAUUGCACAAUGGGCGGAAGCCUGAUGUAGCAACGCCGCGUGCGGGAUGACGGCCUUCGGGUUGUAAACCGCUUUCGCCUGUGACGAAGCGUGAGUGACGGUAAUGGGUAAAGAAGCACCGGCUAACUACGUG